rnacentral:rRNA from 1 species
CAGCAGCCGCGGUAAUACGUAGGUCCCGAGCGUUGUCCGGAUUUAUUGGGCGUAAAGCGAGCGCAGGCGGUUAGAUAAGUCUGAGGUUAAAGGCUGUGGCUUAACCAUAGUACGCUUUGGAAACUGUUUAACUUGAGUGCAAGAGGGGAGAGUGGAAUUCCAUGUGUAGCGGUGAAAUGCGUAGAUAUAUGGAGGAACACCGGUGGCGAAAGCGGCUCUCUGGCUUGUAACUGACGCUGAGGCUCGAAAGCGUGGGGAGCAAACAGGAUUAGAUACCCCUGUAGUCCCUGUCUCUUAUACA